AACGAACGCUGGCGGCAGGCUUAACACAUGCAAGUCGAGCGCCCCGCAAGGGGAGCGGCAGACGGGUGAGUAACGCGUGGGAAUCUACCCAUCCCUACGGAAUAGCUCCGGGAAACUGGAAUUAAUACCGUAUACGCCCUACGGGGGAAAGAUUUAUCGGGGAUGGAUGAGCCCGCGUUGGAUUAGCUAGUUGGUGGGGUAAAGGCCUACCAAGGCGACGAUCCAUAGCUGGUCUGAGAGGAUGAUCAGCCACAUUGGGACUGGGACACGGCCCAAACUCCUACGGGAGGCAGCAGUGGGGAAUAUUGGACAAUGGGGGCAACCCUGAUCCAGCCAUGCCGCGUGAGUGAUGAAGGCCUUAGGGUUGUAAAGCUCUUUCACCGGGGAAGAUAAUGACGGUACCCGGAGAAGAAGCCCCGGCUAACUUCGUGCCAGCCGCCGCCGUAACAC
rnacentral:rRNA from 1 species